rnacentral:rRNA from 1 species
CCCCUAGUAACUGCGAGUGAAGCGGGAAAAGCUCAAAUUUAAAAUCCCUCUGGGAGUUGUAAUCUAGAGAAGCGUUUUCGGUCGUUGCCUUGGACAAGUCCCUUGGAACAGGGCGUCAUAGAGGGUGAGAAUCCCGUCCUUGCCAAGCUACCAACGUCUAUGUGAUGCGCUCUCGAAGAGUCGAGUUGUUUGGGAAUGCAGCUCAAAACGGGUGGUAAACUCCAUCUAAAGCUAAAUAUUGGCGAGAGACCGAUAGCGAACAAGUACCGUGAGGGAAAGAUGAAAAGCACUUUGGAAAGAGAGUUAAACAGUACGUGAAAUUGCUAAAAGGGAAGCGCUUGAAGUCAGUCGCGUCUUCAGAGACUCAGCCUCACGGCGCAUUUCUCUGUCGACGGGCCAGCAUCAGUUUUGGCCGCGGGAAAAGGGCUUGAGGAAUGUGGCAGCCUCGGCUGUGUUAUAGCCUCUUGUCGUACACCGCGGCGGGGACUGAGGAAUGCUUAAUAGGAUGCUGG